rnacentral:lncRNA from 1 species
UUGAACUAAGAGAUACAUGUUUCCGCUUAGAAUUUUCUGGUAUUAAGAAAUAGCAAUAGAAAAAGAAUCAAUUUGCUAAAAAACCAGAAAAAAGUUAGAAAUUAGAUAAAUACAUCAGAAAUUGUGAAAGUUCACUGUGUAAGCUAUGUCAGGUCUGGUUAUGAUUGCAACCACCAAGAAUGCUACGAUAGAGAUGAGGAUUAGCAAAGUGGAACUUGCAACAGCAGAGCAGAUAAAGAGGACCCAGAAGUGACUAUGGGAGAAGGGAGAGGUUCUUUCCAUGCCAGCCUUGACCAAUAGAUCAGUAAUGUUUUGAGAAAGAUAGAAGCAGAAGUU